GAAAUGAACCCGUAAAGAAGGAUGUCACCCCCGAGCCGAACGAUAAUGCGGUUGCUUGGAGAAAUUUCUUCAAUGCGAACUACAAAGCCCUUCGAGCAGCUGAGAAGGGAUUAACUGAGAAAGAGGCUACCGACAAAUUGAAAGUGCAAUAUAAAGGUUUCACCGACGAGGAGAAGUCUGAGUGAAGAAGCUAUGACCCU